UACCCUUUGGAUUCUCUUCCGAUUCUUCCUCUUUUUCCACUUCUUUCUCUUCUUCCACCUCUUUCUCUUCUUUCAAUUCUUAUUCUUCCUUUUCUUCUCCUUCAUGGAUAGGAUUAUCCUUUAAAAUAAAAUCAGUUGGAUCUACCUUCUCAUGUCGGCCAUCAUGUACGAGAAUUUUUGGAGCAUCUAACUCGGCAUCUAU
rnacentral:lncRNA from 1 species